rnacentral:rRNA from 1 species
GACGAACGCUGGCGGCGUGCCUAAUACAUGCAAGUAGAACGCUGAAGGAGGAGCUUGCUUCUCUGGAUGAGUUGCGAACGGGUGAGUAACGCGUAGGUAACCUGCCUGGUAGCGGGGGAUAACUAUUGGAAACGAUAGCUAAUACCGCAUAAUAGUAGAUGUUGCAUGACAUUUACUUAAAAGGUGCAAUUGCAUCACUACCAGAUGGACCUGCGUUGUAUUAGCUAGUUGGUGGGGUAACGGCUCACCAAGGCGACGAUACAUAGCCGACCUGAGAGGGUGGUCGGCCACACUGGGACUGAGACACGGCCCAGACUCCUACGGGAGGCAGCAGUAGGGAAUCUUCGGCAAUGGACGAAAGUCCGACCGAGCAACGCCGCGUGAGUGAAGAAGGUUUUCGGAUCGUAAAGCUCUGUUGUAAGAGAAGAACGAGUGUGAGAGUGGAAAGUUCACACUGUGACGGUAUCUUACCAGAAAGGGACGGCUAACUACGUG